CAGCGAAGGUGUAUAGUCACGAAUUUUAUUUUGGUUUACUGCUGUUCCUGGAUGGACAAUGAACGAUAGAAACAACAACGUAUUUGGAAGCCACAAAGACGGUCCGAGUAAUCACUACAGCACCUAGUCACACAAGGACUUGAAGCAAUGAACAUCAAGAUGUGAGGCGGAGACAAUUUUAGGAGUGAGUGAGGACUGUGAAGAAACUAUUAAGAUAGUUCUACGGAUGUGUAAAGAAUGGUGGUUGCAGGGCAGGAGGGUAUAACCUAUCAUUUAUCUAGAUCUACUGAUUGAGGAAUUUUAUUAUGGUAGCAGUAUUGUUUUAGUACAGCCUGACCAGAAUAACA